rnacentral:rRNA from 1 species
CAGCCGCCGCGGUAAUACGAAGGGUGCAAGCGUUAAUCGGAAUUACUGGGCGUAAAGCGUGCGUAGGCGGUGAGUUAAGUCUGCUGUGAAAUCCCCGGGCUCAACCUGGGAAUGGCAGUGGAUACUGGCUCGCUAGAGUGUGUCAGAGGAUGGUGGAAUUCCCGGUGUAGCGGUGAAAUGCGUAGAGAUCGGGAGGAACAUCAGUGGCGAAGGCGGCCAUCUGGACAACACUGACGCUGAGGCACGAAAGCGUGGGGAGCAAACAGGAUUAGAUACCCGCGUAGUCCCUGUCUCUUAUACA